UAUCGCCCCAUUUUUUUGAGCUCCAUUUUCAGCACUAACGGCCCUAUUUCCAGAGCUCCAUUUUCAGAGCUCUGACCCCAUUUUCAGCACUUAUGGCCCCAUUUUCUGAGCUCAGAGCCCCAUUUUCAGAGCUCCUGGCCCCAUUUUCAGCACUUAUGGUCCCAUUUUCAGCACUCUGAGCCCCAUUUUCAGCACUUCUGGCCCCAUUUUCAGAGCUCUGACUCCCAUUUUUAGAUCUUGCCCAAAAUUCAGAGUUCCUGGCCCCCAUUUUCAGCACUUAUUUCCCCAUUUUCAGCACUCUGACUCCCAUUUUCAGCACUUAAGCCCCAUUUUCAGCACUUGUGGCCCCAUUUUCAGCACUUGUGGCCCCAUUUUCAGAGCUCUGACCCCCAUCUUCAGAGCUCAGAGCCCCAAUUUCAGGCCUUGUGGAGCUCAGAGCCCCAUUUUCAGCACUUAUGGCCCCAUUUUCAGAGCUCUGACCC
rnacentral:lncRNA from 1 species